rnacentral:lncRNA from 9 species
UCCUGAUACAGCUGUUAAUGAGAAUGAUGUUGAUGAUAACACCUAGCAACUAUUAGUAAAGAUGACCUAAUGGUUGCCUAAUGCCCAGCAAACCUGACUUUUAUUAUUAUUAUUAUUAUUUAUUUAUUUAUUUAUUUUUUUGUCUUUUUGCUAUUUCUUGGGCCGCUCCCGCGGCAUAUGGAGGUUCCCAGGCUAGGGGUCGAAUCGGAGCUGUAGCCACCGGCCUAGGCCAGAGCCACAGCAACGCGGGAUCCGAGCCGCGUCUGCAGCCUACACCACAGCUCACGGCAACGCCGGAUCGUUAACCCGCUGAGCAAGGGCAGGGACCGAACCCGCAACCUCAUGGUUCCUAGUCGGAUUCGUUAACCACUGCGCCACGACGGGAACUCCAAACCUGACUUUUAAAUUCGAACACACCCCUGAGCCCUGGACGUUCCCCUCUUGCCAUUAUGACAUGUGGGGUGAAGGUGGGAGGAGGCCUCCGUCUGGCAGAGGCCCCUUUAAAAAUGUACCCGGGUUCCUCCUCUGCCAACCAAGUUCUAAAAAUAUUACUCCAGCAAAAGCUGAAAUAUUUGCAGAGAAAACUGAAUUUCCUGCUACCCUCACCCCCUCCACUCAAAUGGGCCUGCUGCCAUCCUUCUCCCUCAACUGUGGGGGCCAGCGAAGACAGAGGAGAUGUUUUGAAAUCUGAAGAGUCAAGGAGGAUAACUGCAGCACCGAAGGCCAGCAGGUUAACAGAGUGAGGUAGCCUGCUGCCCAAAGCAGCCUGGCCCAGCAUUCCACGGUGCUUCUGUCCCCUUUCCUUGUUCAUCUAUUCAAGAAUCAGAGGUUCAG